UAGGUGCUCGCAAACAGCACUUGCCCCUACAGUCUGUUAAGUCUACACGAGGGGCCCUUGUCUUUGGGGGUGGGUAUGACGUCAUAGGCACUCGACACUUUGGCAACGUGACAGACGAUCAGUGUCAAUAUGUGUGCAGUCAUCAUUUAAUAGCGUCCCAGUAGAGGAUAUAAAUAACAAAAUAUAACAAAAUAUAUAAGACGUCUUAUUCGUAUUUAUUAAUCGCCAUGUGACAUUUUUAAAGCAUUUUUUUUACGUAACUCAUCGGCCCCAGCGCCUUCUGGAAGUGAAUCAUUUCAACAGCGUUGAGUCAGCACAAGCUAACAGUAUACAAAUUAUCAUAACAAUAAUUUGCCGAUUAAAGUGCCAGACCUCCUUCUGGGACCGCUCUGUCACCACCCCAGAAUCUCAUCCAGAUGCUGAAGAACGCUCGCGGAAUGUGGAACAAGAUGAUGUACAAAGUUUCCUGUUUAAGUUCCAUGUUUUUGCAACGAAACUUGGCUGGGGAAAAAAAAAUCGAAAGGCAUUACUGAGUGGCCCUCAUCCAGAGAGAUAGGAUGCCGGGACACGGGGACAAGGAGACGUGGAAAAUGCAUGAGGAAGUGAGACAUGGAGACAGGAACACAACAUUGGAGACAGAGAGGAGCGCGCUCCCUUGCUGCCGGAUCGGGAUUCCUUCUUUCCACCUGAACGCGCCGAUCUGCUGGCAGAGCGAGUGGCCUUGCCGCGCGAGCUGGACGCUUUGCUCCCGGAGCCUCUCGCCGUGCCUCCACGACC